UUCACCGAUCAGUGACGAUAACUAAUUUACAGACAGAGAGACACUUAAAUAAUACGAAGAGUAUGUCACGAAAACUAAACUUUAUUAAUCUGUGCCUGGUGUCGUUCUUAUGGAUGUGGCUAAUUGUUGGUGGAAUGGCUAUAGCAUUUACUCGUAGAAGCCAUUAUUAUCCGUGCGCAGAACAGAAUGGACAAUGCAUGACUUCUUGCAGUUCUAAAUUAAAGAGAUAUUCCACUGACUGUGGUGAUCGGAAAUGGUGCUGUGUUUCGAUUUAGAUUGCUUAUCUAUGAAAUUGUAAUACCAUCAGCAAUAAAAAAUAAUAUAACAUAAUUACAAUAGUGUAAUUUGCCUGAAUAACUGCUUUGCUUUGAUUUUGCUUUCUUGUGUAUAUCAUUUUAUUUGUUUGGAACGUAAUUUGUAUAUUUUCAAAAGUGAUGUUCUAAUUGAAAUUGAAGUGCAAUAAAUAAAAUAACAAUUUUUGUUAAUAAUCGCAUCUCUACAUUCUGCAUUUCGAUGUUACUUCAGCGAGAAGUGACGAUAACUAAAAUACAGGCAGAAAGAAACUUAAUUAAUACGAGAAUUAUGUCAUCCAAACUAAAAUUGAUAAGCCUGUGGAUUGUGUUGUCGUUACUGAUAUUGCUAAUUGCCUGCGGAAGUGCGAGAUCCCAGAAACUAACGUGCCACGAACAGCAAGGAGAAUGCAUGCCUUUUUGCAAUGUUCAAUUGCAAAAAAAUGCCACCGACUGCCGCAAGGACCAAGUAUGCUGUGUUUUGGUUUAAAUUGCUCUUCUAUGAAAUUUUCAUACUAUCAGCAAUAAAAAAUAAUAUAACAUAAUUACACUUUAAUAGUGUAAUUUGAGUGAA